rnacentral:rRNA from 1 species
GUUAUAUGGUCAAGUGAAGAAGCGCAUACGGUGGAUGCCUUGGCAGUCAGAGGCGAUGAAAGACGUGGUAGCCUGCGAAAAGCUUCGGGGAGUCGGCAAACAGACUGUGAUCCGGAGAUGUCUGAAUGGGGGAACCCAGCUGUCAUAAGACAGUUACCUUACACUGAAUACAUAGGUGUAUGGAGCGAACCAGGGGAACUGAAACAUCUAAGUACCCUGAGGAAAAGAAAUCAACCGAGAUUCCCUUAGUAGUGGCGAGCGAACGGGGACCAGCCCUUAAGUUGAUUUGAGAUUAGCGGAACGCUCUGGAAAGUGCGGCCAUAGUGGGUGAUAGCCCUGUACGCGAAAAUCUCUUGUCAAUGAAAUCGAGUAGGACGGGGCACGAGAAACCUUGUCUGAACAUGGGGGGACCAUCCUCCAAGGCUAAAUACUACUGACUGACCGAUAGUGAACCAGUACCGUGAGGGAAAGGCGAAAAGAACCGCGGAGAGCGGAGUGAAAUAGAUCCUGAAACCGUAUGCGUACAAGCAGUGGGAGCCCACUUUGUUGGGUGACUGCGUACCUUUUGUAUAAUGGGUCAGCGACUUAUUUUCAGUGGCGAGCUUAACCGAAUAGGGGAGGCGUAGCGAAAGCGAGUCUUAAUAGGGCGUCUAGUCGCUGGGAAUAGACCCGAAACCGGGCGAUCUAUCCAUGGGCAGGUUGAAGGUUGGGUAACACUAACUGGAGGACCGAACCGACUACCGUUGAAAAGUUAGCGGAUGACCUGUGGAUCGGAGUGAAAGGCUAAUCAAGCUCGGAGAUAGCUGGUUCUCCUCGAAAGCUAUUUAGGUAGCGCCUCAUGUAUCACUGAAGGGGGUAGAGCACUGUUUCGGCUAGGGGGUCAUCCCGCCUUACCAAACCGAUGCAAACUCCGAAUACCUACAAGUGCCGAGCAUGGGAGACACACGGCGGGUGCUAACGUCCGUCGUGAAAAGGGAAACAACCCAGACCGUCAGCUAAGGUCCCAAAGUCAUGGUUAAGUGGGAAACGAUGUGGGAAGGCUUAGACAGCUAGGAGGUUGGCUUAGAAGCAGCCACCCUUUAAAGAAAGCGUAAUAGCUCACUAGUCGAGUCGGCCUGCGCGGAAGAUGUAACGGGGCUCAAACCAUGCACCGAAGCUACGGGUAUCAUCUUAGGAUGAUGCGGUAGAGGAGCGUUCUGUAAGCCUGUGAAGGUGAGUUGAGAAGCUUGCUGGAGGUAUCAGAAGUGCGAAUGCUGACAUGAGUAACGACAAUGGGUGUGAAAAACACCCACGCCGAAAGACCAAGGUUUCCUGCGCAACGUUAAUCGACGCAGGGUUAGUCGGUCCCUAAGGCGAGGCUGAAAAGCGUAGUCGAUGGAAAACAGGUUAAUAUUCCUGUACUUCUGGUUAUUGCGAUGGAGGGACGGAGAAGGCUAGGCCAGCCUGGCGUUGGUUGUCCAGGUUUAAGGUGGUAGGCUGAAAUCUUAGGUAAAUCCGGGGUUUCAAGGCCGAGAGCUGAUGACGAGUGUAACACGAAGUGGUUGAUGCCAUGCUUCCAAGAAAAGCUUCUAAGCUUCAGGUAACCAGGAACCGUACCCCAAACCGACACAGGUGGUUGGGUAGAGAAUACCAAGGCGCUUGAGAGAACUCGGGUGAAGGAACUAGGCAAAAUGGCACCGUAACUUCGGGAGAAGGUGCGCCGGUGAGGGUGAAGGACUUGCUCCGUAAGCUCAUGCCGGUCGAAGAUACCAGGCCGCUGCGACUGUUUAUUAAAAACACAGCACUCUGCAAACACGAAAGUGGACGUAUAGGGUGGGACGCCUGCCCGGUGCCGGAAGGUUAAUUGAUGGGGUUAGCUAACGCGAAGCUCUUGAUCGAAGCCCCGGUAAACGGCGGCCGUAACUAUAACGGUCCUAAGGUAGCGAAAUUCCUUGUCGGGUAAGUUCCGACCUGCACGAAUGGCGUAACGAUGGCGGCGCUGUCUCCACCCGAGACUCAGUGAAAUUGAAAUCGCUGUGAAGAUGCAGUGUAUCCGCGGCUAGACGGAAAGACCCCGUGAACCUUUACUAUAGCUUUGCACUGGACUUUGAAUUUGCUUGUGUAGGAUAGGUGGGAGGCUUUGAAGCGUGGACGCCAGUCUGCGUGGAGCC